rnacentral:rRNA from 1 species
UACGUAGGGUGCGAGCGUUGUCCGGAAUUAUUGGGCGUAAAGAGCUUGUAGGCGGUUUGUCGCGUCUGCUGUGAAAUCUCAAGGCUCAACCUUGAGCCUGCAGUGGGUACGGGCAGGCUAGAGGUAGGUAGGGGAGAAUGGAAUUCCUGGUGUAGCGGUGAAAUGCGCAGAUAUCAGGAGGAACACCGGUGGCGAAGGCGGGUCUCUGGGCCGUAACUGACGCUGAGGAGCGAAAGCGUGGGGAGCGAACAGG